UUUUUUUUUUUUUUUGAGAGUCACUACCACAUGUAGUGUCCAAUGCUCAUAGGCAUAUCAUAGCCACAAGGAGGACUGGGCUUUAUAGAUAAAAUUUGUAGGGAUGAAAGACUAGUCCUCCAGGGAGAUCUUCAACACUUCUCCAUGUUGAUCUCUGGCUUCCCAUAAGUCCCACAUAGGCAUUGCCAUAUAUAGGACUGUGAUAUCAGAAGGCAUCACUUCAAGUUUGUGGUGUUGUGCUUGAUGCUUUUGUUCUCUCACUAUAUUUCAGAACCAGCUAGGCAUGGGCUCUAAUCUUGGUUCUAUCAUUUACCAACUUUGUGACUUAAGCAUAUUCUAUAGUGUAUCUGAUGCUUCACUUAUGAAAUACCUGUCUCUCAGGGACACUGGGAAGUUUAGGGAUAUUAUAUAUAGGAGUGCCUGGCAUGCAUUCAGCAAGUGGUUAUUAAACACUAGCUACACAGUGUCUUUAUCUGAUUUAUUUCUUUGUCUCAUACCAUCAGAAUGUGUUUAUUCUCAAUGCCUCUCUUUAUGUAGUGGAGUAAUUCUUAUCUUUCUCUGGGCUAAAUGUCCAUAAUGCCCUAAAACUCCUUAGGCUCUUGCACAUACUGGCUUCUGUUAUGACUUUUUAUAUCCUGGUUGCUUCUAGUACCCUCUCAAUCCCUAGCUCUCAAGCUAGAGAAGGAGGCCUUCUCUAUCAGCCAAGGUGGCCAUAUAAAUGAAAGGAGUCUUAAGGUUCCUUGCAGCCUUUCUAUUCAGUAAUUCUGGUAAACUUAAUUCUAUAAAAGCUUAUGUUUUAAAUUCAAGUUGGUACUUCUAUGUAUGGGUUACCUGAAAACCCAUCUCUUUGUUUUGUUUUCUAGCAAACUACAUCUAGCUGAUGCUCCAUGUAUAUUUUACAUUAAGCUUUCAGUCUCCAACAUGUCAUCAGGACUUGAGAAAUGUCCCAUGUGCCACCCUCUGCUUUGCAUUUCUUUCCUUCCACUUCUCAUGGCAAACUUAAACUUGCUCCUCCAAACCAGAUCAUAUGUCACCACCUGUGAUACCCUCCUCAACUCCUCCAAACAUCCUUGUGUUUCCAUCUCUGUAAAAGACUAACUACACUGAAUUAUGAUUUGCUGAAUGUUUUCCUCACACUUGGCUAUGUGUUGGUCUUUGAAGAUAAAAAUAACAUCCUAUUCAUUUUCCUAACCCCAAUAAACAUUACCUUGUUGUAGCAUGAGCUUUUAAAAUUCUUGGUAAUUAAAUAGAUUAUCAUUCCCUUACUUUAGUGAAAUGACCACGUUUAUUAAUAAUAAGGUCCCGCAUUUGCGUAAUCCCACCUCAACAUAAUUUUGUAUCUAUUCCUAUCAUAGCAGUCUAAGUACAAUGGAAUUCACCAGCAUGUUAGAAGAUUAAGUAGGAUUUUUCCCAGAAAUGUGAGGAAAUUUAAAUAUUAAAAAAUUAUCUGUGCAAUUUACCAUAAUAGAUAUAAGGUGAAACAUACGAUUCUUUAUAGUAUAUUAGAUAUGAGAUUGUAUAAUAUGUUACAUUUUAUGUAAAUCAUAAUCCAUUCCUGAUGAUAAUUACAAUUCUUAAUAAUAAGGGAUUGAGAAUUCUUUUAUUAAUAUGAUGAAAUAUACUUGCCUGAAACAAUAAGCCCACAACAUGUGUUUAAUGAGUUUACUCUAGAAACAUCCCCAUUAAUGUCAGAAACAAGAGAGCAAUGCCCACCCUUACACAAACUUUUUGUCAUAGAUAGGGAGGUACUAUCCAAUACAAUUAGUCAAGGAAAAGAAAUACAAAUUGGAAGGAAGGUGGUGAAUGUAUUGCUUGAUAUGGAUAUAAUUGUUUUGUCUUGAAAUCCAAAGAUAAUUAAUGACAGUGAAAAAUUAAUUGCAAAAAUCAAUAACUCCCAUACAUGCAAAAAAAAAAAUUCAGUUACGUAGAAAUAAAUUACAAGAAACAUGUAAGUUCUAUAUAAGGGAAAAAAUGUAAAACCUCUAAGGAACAAAGAAAAUUAAAAGAAAUAGAAACUAUAUUCUUGUCAAGGAAGAUAGAAAUUCCUUAAGUUCUUAGUAUUCUGUAAAUUAAUCUAUGUAAUUAAUAUGCUUAAAUAAAAAUAUUUGACAGAAUUUUUUAAAGUUCACAGACUCCUCUAAAGACCACAUAUGACUAGCUAGCAAAAAAUAAAGAGCAAUGAGAAAGAACUAUAUUAUAAUGAUAUCAAAAUAUAAGGUUUUGGGAUCCCUGGGUGGCGCAGCGGUUUGGCGCCUGCCUUUGGCCCAGGGCGCGAUCCUGGAGACCCGGGAUCGAAUCCCACGUCGGGCUCCCGCUGCAUGGAGCCUGCUUCUCCCUCUGCCUGUGUCUCUGCCUCUCUCUCUCUCUGUGUGACUAUCAUAAAUAAAUAUAAAUUAAAAAAAAUAAAAAAUAUAUAUAUAUAAGGUUUUGAUAAUUAAAAGACUGAUGUCCUUGUAGGGAAGUAGACAGGAAGAGGAAUCAAACCAAGCUGAGUUGAAACCCUAUAAAUAAAUCACAGAUGAAAACUUAGCAAAUGAUGAAUGACACAGGAAAAGAAUGGCAUUUCAAGUCCGUGAAGAAAAUAUGUAUCAUAUAAUGAAUAGUAUUAUGACAAUCUGGGAAACUAUCUAAAAAAUGUUGGAUAUAAUCAUAUAUUUUACAACAAAAUAAAGUUCUGCUGAAUUAAGUAAUUGAAUGUAAAAUAAAUAACUCAAAUAAAACAAAAUUUUUAAAACAAUUUAGAGUGAGGAAUACCUUUCUGAAUUACACAAAACUCAGAUGCAGGAGCAUAAAAACCGAUAAAUAGGACUACAGAGAAUUAAGAGAUUCUCCAAAGGGAGGAAAAACUCCAUGAACAAAGUCAGAAGAUUAAAGAUAAAUGGAGGAAAUAUUUUCAACUCAUAUCACAGACAAUGCACACUCAUGUAGGUAUAACUUUGUGAUAUGUGAUUAUAACUAUAUAUAUAAAACUAUGAUAUUCAGUUACAGUUGUAAAUUCUUAAAUAUAAUUAUGUUAUAUAUAAAUAUUUAUAACAAUAUAUAACUUUGAUGUAAAUCAUCACAAGACCCAUCCCACUAAAAAUAAUGAGCAAAGCAUAUGGACUGUUUAUCAAAAAAAAAUCAACAACAUAUGGCUCUUAAACAUAGAAAAAGACACUGUAUCCCAGUUAUAUUAGCAGAAAUUUAAAUUAAAACUAAGAUGAGACAUUUUUAAUCCAUUAGUUUGGCAAAAAUAAACUUGUCUGCCAAUAUACUGCAUUGGUGGCAGUGCCUAUAAAAGUUGAAAAUGCAGCUGGUGGGAGGAUAACUAGCACAGCUUCAAACAAAGGCAGCUUAGUAAGAUAUUUCAAGAUUAAAAAUAUAUGUACCCUUUGAUCUAACAUUUUUAAUUUUAAGUAUUAUUUAUUUUUCAUGUGAGAAAAAUGAUGCUUGUACAGGAUAUACACUGUGGUGCUUUGUGUUAUUACAGAAUUGUCCAUCAGUGUGGAGGAGAGUAAAUAAAAUAUGACCCAUCCAUAUAAUAGAACCCUGUGAAGGUUUAAAAAGAAAAAUGUAAUGUCAUAUAACUAAUGAGGACAUGAUUGAUAGGUGAUUGAUAGAUGAUAGACAGAUAGAUGAUAGAUAAAUAGAUGAUAGAUGAUAGAUGAUAGAUAGAUAGAUAGAUAGAUAGAUAGAUAGAUAGAUAGAUAUAGAUAGAUAGGUGAUAGAUGACUGAUAGAUUAAUAAUAGAUGAUAGAUAAUUGCAGGAGCAAAAUGGAAAACAAAAAAAUGUGCAUUAUGCUUCUGACUCAAAGAUACAUUUUUAAAAUCACAUACAUAAACACAUAUAGAUGUUUAGGAAUACAUAGACCGUAUAGGGAAAGAUAAAAAGAAAACUGAUCGAUCACAAUGAUAAUCCCCAAGGUUGAGGAAAAGGAUCAUUGGAUGAGAGGAGACACAAAAGGUUAAAUUUGCACUGUACAUUCUGUUGUACUUUUGAAUUUUGUACCAUGGGUAUACGUUAGAUCAAGAAGAUAAACAAAAAAAAAAUUUUAAAUAUUUAAUGUAAGAGGUAUGCCUUCUCUCAAAUGCUUUUCUUCCUACCUUUGUCCUUAGAAGCAGCCUCAUACUUCUCCCCUUCCUUCUCUUCCUUCCCAGUAGCUUCAAAUGUAGCCUCUCCUUUCUUUCUGUUUAAACACCAUAAAUCUUUGUAAGGGAGAACUUCAAAAAUGCAAACAAACAAAUAAAACUCUACAAUUAUUCCUAUUGUUUUCUGACUGCUGUCUCAGUUUUUAUUCCUCCCUUAAGAAAAUGCUUUUAAGGGACACCUGAGUGGCUCAGUGGUUGAACAUCUGCCUUUGGCUCAGGGCGUGAUCCCAGGGUCCUGGGAUCGAGUCCCACAUCAGGCUCCCUGCAUGGAGCCUGCUUCUCCCUAUGCCUAUGUCUCUGUUUGUCUUAUUUAUUUAUUUAUAUGUUUAUUUAUUUAUUUAUUUAUUUAUUUAUUUAUAAUGUAAUGUCAUAUAAC
rnacentral:lncRNA from 1 species